ensembl:snRNA U5 U5 spliceosomal RNA
GCACUCUUGUUUCUCUUCAAAUCAUAUAAAUCUUUCGCCUUUUACUAAAGAUUUCCGUGGGGAGGAACAACAAGAGUUUGAUUCAAUUUUUUGAUGCCCUGCAGUAGUAGGGCU